UCAUGAUGAACGCUAGCUACAGGCUUAACACAUGCAAGUCGAGGGGCAGCAUGGUCUUAGCUUGCUAAGGCCGAUGGCGACCGGCGCACGGGUGAGUAACACGUAUCCAACCUGCCGUCUACUCUUGGACAGCCUUCUGAAAGGAAGAUUAAUACAAGAUGGCAUCAUGAGUCCGCAUGUUCACAUGAUUAAAGGUAUUCCGGUAGACGAUGGGGAUGCGUUCCAUUAGAUAGUAGGCGGGGUAACGGCCCACCUAGUCUUCGAUGGAUAGGGGUUCUGAGAGGAAGGUCCCCCACAUUGGAACUGAGACACGGUCCAAACUCCUACGGGAGGCAGCAGUGAGGAAUAUUGGUCAAUGGGCGAGAGCCUGAACCAGCCAAGUAGCGUGAAGGAUGACUGCCCUAUGGGUUGUAAACUUCUUUUAUAAAGGAAUAAAGUCGGGUAUGGAUACCCGUUUGCAUGUACUUUAUGAAUAAGGAUCGGCUAACUCCGUGCCAGCAGCCGCGGUAAUACGGAGGAUCCGAGCGUUAUCCGGAUUUAUUGGGUUUAAAGGGAGCGUAGAUGGAUGUUUAAGUCAGUUGUGAAAGUUUGCGGCUCAACCGUAAAAUUGCAGUUGAUACUGGAUAUCUUGAGUGCAGUUGAGGCAGGCGGAAUUCGUGGUGUAGCGGUGAAAUGCUUAGAUAUCACGAAGAACUCCGAUUGCGAAGGCAGCCUGCUAAGCUGCAACUGACAUUGAGGCUCGAAAGUGUGGGUAUCAAACAGGAUUAGAUACCCUGGUAGUCCACACGGUAAACGAUGAAUACUCGCUGUUUGCGAUAUACAGCAAGCGGCCAAGCGAAAGCGUUAAGUAUUCCACCUGGGGAGUACGCCGGCAACGGUGAAACUCAAAGGAAUUGACGGGGGCCCGCACAAGCGGAGGAACAUGUGGUUUAAUUCGAUGAUACGCGAGGAACCUUACCCGGGCUUAAAUUGCAGAUGAAUUACGGUGAAAGCCGUAAGCCGCAAGGCAUCUGUGAAGGUGCUGCAUGGUUGUCGUCAGCUCGUGCCGUGAGGUGUCGGCUUAAGUGCCAUAACGAGCGCAACCCUUGUUGUCAGUUACUAACAGGUUCCGCUGAGGACUCUGACAAGACUGCCAUCGUAAGAUGUGAGGAAGGUGGGGAUGACGUCAAAUCAGCACGGCCCUUACGUCCGGGGCUACACACGUGUUACAAUGGGGGGUACAGAGGGCCGCUACCACGCGAGUGGAUGCCAAUCCCAAAAACCUCUCUCAGUUCGGACUGGAGUCUGCAACCCGACUCCACGAAGCUGGAUUCGCUAGUAAUCGCGCAUCAGCCACGGCGCGGUGAAUACGUUCCCGGGCCUUGUACACACCGCCCGUCAAGCCAUGGGAGCCGGGGGUACAAGAAGUGCGUAACCGCGAGGAGCGCCCUAGG
rnacentral:rRNA from 1 species